AAUAGAUACCCGGGUAGUCCACGCCGUAAACGAUGAGUGCUAAGUGUUGGGGGGUUUCCGCCCCUCAGUGCUGCAGCUAACGCAUUAAGCACUCCGCCUGGGGAGUACGGUCGCAAGACUGAAACUCAAAGGAAUUGACGGGGGCCCGCACAAGCGGUGGAGCAUGUGGUUUAAUUCGAAGCAACGCGAAGAACCUUACCGGGUCUUGACAUCCCGGUGACCACUAUGGAGACAUAGUUUCCCCUUCGGGGGCAACGGUGACAGGUGGUGCAUGGUUGUCGUCAGCUCGUGUCGUGAGAUGUUGGGUUAAGUCCCGCAACGAGCGCAACCCUUAUUCUUAGUUGCCAUCAUUCAGUUGGGCACUCUAAGGAGACUGCCGGUGAUAAACCGGAGGAAGGUGGGGAUGACGUCAAAUCAUCAUGCCCCUUAUGACCUGGGCUACACACGUGCUACAAUGGACGGUACAAACGGUUGCCAACCCGCGAGGGGAGCUAAUCCGAUAAAACCGUUCUCAGUUCGGAUUGUAGGCUGCAACUCGCCUACA
rnacentral:rRNA from 1 species